CCUACGGGAGGCAGCAGUGGGGGAUAUUGCACAAUGGAGGGAACUCUGAUGCAGCGACGCCGCGUGAGGGAAGAAGGUUUUCGGAUUGUAAACCUCUGUCUUCGGUGACGAAACGUGACGGUAGCCGACGAGGCAGCCACGGCAAACUACGUGCCAGCAGCCGCGGACAUCCGUGGGUGGCAAGGGUUGUCCGGAAAUACUGGGUGUACAGGGAGCGUAGGCGGGAAAGCAAGUUGAAUGUUUAAGGUACGGGCUCAACCUGUACAAGCGUUCAAAACUGUUUUUCUUGAGUGGGGUAGAGGUGAGCGGAAUGCCUGGUGUAGCGGUGAAAUGCGUAAAUAUUAGGAGGAACACCAGUGGCGAAGGCGGCUUACUGGGCUGUAACUGACGCUGAGGCUCGAAAGCGUGGGUAGCAAACAGGAUUAGAUACCCUUGUAGUC
rnacentral:rRNA from 1 species